rnacentral:rRNA from 1 species
UACGGGGGGAGCAAGCGUUGUUCGGAUUUACUGGGCGUAAAGGGCGGGUAGGCGGCCACCGCAAGUCCCAUGUGAAAUCCCACGGCUCAACCGUGGAAGUGCAUGGGAAACUGCAGAGCUUGAGUACUUAAGAGGAUCGCGGAAUUCCCGGUGUAGAGGUGAAAUUCGUAGAUAUCGGGAGGAACACCAGUGGCGAAGGCGGCGAUCUGGGAAGAUACUGACGCUGAGGUGCGAAAGCGUGGGGAGCAAACAGG